GCCAGCUCUCCUUUCAUUAAGCAAUGCCAGAGAAAUGUUCCUGCAGUCGGAGAGGCCACAGAUGUGUGCUAAGACAGGAGGUGAGAGGAAAGGAAGAGAAUGGGAACAUCUGGAGACUCCACUCCCUUUGCAUUUGCCUUCACCUUGAUUCAUCAUUUGGGGCUUCUUCUUGGGGUAAAGAAAUUGUAGAGCUGGGAAUCCCACUAAGAACCUCUCACUCCAGAAUUCAUGCACCAACCACUUCAUGACGCUGCCUUAAAGGUGAUGAUAGAGCUGGAUUCUGAAGGACCAGAAGUUAUCUUGGUUGACGGGGCAGGAAAUGUGUUCUGGGCAUAUGUGUUAUGCACUAGAAGUAUGAGAAAACUUUUUGCAUUUACACAGCGGGAGGCAGUUGAGGACAUCUACAGCAUGCAUUUUUUUGUGGGAUGAAUUUCCAGGGAAGAAGCGGAAGGACCAAACCCUAAAGGGUCUUACAUACCAUGCUCAGAAGUUGAGUGCAUAAAGAUCUUAAAAGAAUAAGUAUGAAAAAAUAUAUGUAUGUAAAGCAAAAAUGAAACCCACAAGUCAAAUGAAAAGGCAAACACACUGAGAAAAAAUAUUUGCAAGCCAUAUGACAUUGGGUUAAUAGCUUUGUUAUAUAAAGAACUCCUAAAACUGAUUAUGAAAACAUUUAAACUGAACUAGAUAAAUGGGCAAAGGACAUGAACAGAUGAUUCACAAAAUAAGAAAUGCAAAGCAGUAAACAAACAUAUGGAAAAAUGUGCAACUUCCUGUAUAAUCAAAGACAUGCAAAUUUAAACAACAGUAAGAGAACCAUUCUUUGCCUAUCAGAUUAGUAAAUGUUAGUCAAAAUGGUAAUAGCUGAUUCUGGCAAGAAUGAGCUGCAAAAGGAAUCCCUGCACAUAAGUAUGUUCGAAUCCCGGAUGCCAAAUGUUCCUUUCCCUAUAAUUCUGUAAUUCCAGUUCUGGUAAUCAAUUCUCUCUGAGGCUACAUUUAUAUACUGUUUGCAAUAAAGAAAAAAUUGGAAACAAGGAGACAGAAGGUACAGGUGACCAAAGUUUAGAACAUCACUUCCGUGUGGACACCAGAAACAUUUUUCUAGCCCUGACUUCUUUUUUUGAGUUCCAGAACUACCCCAAGCUGAACUCUUUAUUGUUUUCUCCAAAUCUGGUUUGCCACAUUCAUUUUCAUGUUUCAUUAAUGGUAUCACAGGCUAUAUUGUAAUCCAAGCCAAACCUUAGAAAUUAUCCUUUCUUCCUUGCUAUGGUCUAGAUAUUUGUGUCCUUUACCACCCCCACACCACAAAUUCAUAUGUUAAAAACCCUAACUCCCACAGAUGACAGUAUUAGGAGAUGGGGCCUUUGGAAGUGUUUAAAUAUAGCGUAGAGCCCUCAUGAAUGGGAUUAGGGCCUUAUGAAAGAGACCCCAUAGAAAUCCCUAGUCCCUUCCACCAUGUGAGGACAAGGACAAGGAUAAGGUUGAGACCGCUUUGUUUAUGAACCAGAAAGUGGGCGGUUACCAAACACCAAAUCUGGUGGCACAACCAUCUUGGGCUUCCAGCCUCCAGACUGUGAGAAAUAAAUUCUGUUGUUUAUAAGCCA